UACGUAGGCAGCAAGCGUUGUUCGGACUUACUGGGCGUAAAGGGUGCGUAGGCGGCUUUUUAAGUUUGGUGUGAAAUCUCCCGGCUCAACUGGGAGGGUGCGCCGAAUACUGAGAGGCUAGAGUGUGGGAGAGGAAAGUGGAAUUCCUGGUGUAGCGGUGAAAUGCGUAGAUAUCAGGAGGAACACCGGUGGUGUAAACGGCUUUCUGGACCAUAACUGACGCUGAGGCACGAAAGCUAGGGGAGCAAACAGG
rnacentral:rRNA from 1 species